rnacentral:rRNA from 1 species
GACGAACGCUGGCGGCGUGCUUAACACAUGCAAGUCGAACGGUAAGGCCCUUCGGGGUACACGAGUGGCGAACGGGUGAGUAACACGUGGGUGAUCUGCUCUGCACUUCGGGAUAAGCCUGGGAAACUGGGUCUAAUACCGGAUAGGACCACUGCCUGCAUGGGUGGUGGUGGAAAGCUUUUGCGGUGUGGGAUGGGCCCGCGGCCUAUCAGCUUGUUGGUGGGGUGCUGGCCUACCAAGGCGACGACGGGGAGCCGGCCUGAGAGGGUGACCGGCCACACUGGGACUGAGAUACUGCCCAGACUCCUACGGGAGGCAGCAGUGGGGAAUAUUGCACAAUGGGCGCAAGCCUGAUGCAGCGACGCCGCGUGAGGGAUGACGGCCUUCGGGUUGUAAACCUCUUUCAGCACCGACGAAGCGCAAGUGACGGUAGGUGCAGAAGAAGGACCGGCCAACUACGUGCCAGCAGCCGCCGUAA